GACGAACGCUGGCGGCGUGCUUAACACAUGCAAGUCGAACGGAACUCAUUGGAACAAGACUUCGGUCAAGGGAAUUUGAGUUUAGUGGCGGACGGGUGAGUAACGCGUGAGGAACCUGCCUCGGAGUGGGGAAUAACAGUUAGAAAUGACUGCUAAUACCGCAUGAUGCAUUUGGGUCGCAUGAUCCGGAUGCCAAAGAUUUAUCGCUCUGAGAUGGCCUCGCGUCUGAUUAGCUUGUUGGCGGGGUAACGGCCCACCAAGGUGACGAUCAGUAGCCGGUCUGAGAGGAUGAACGGCCACAUUGGAACUGAGACACGGUCCAG
rnacentral:rRNA from 1 species